AGUAAUCACUUGAUUUUUGUAUCGUAGUGUUACCUGGAUCGUUUAUGUGAGACAUUUUUUUACCCAUAGCCUAAAACAUGCCUGUUGAUAAUGUUGUUUGUCCACGUGCUAUCUUUAAUCAUUAUUAGACAAUCAAUUAUAAUCAUAUUAAUUUUCAUACACUAUUUACUAGUUGCAAAAUUAUUGUAAUAACUGUAAUUUCAUUAUUUGUACCCACUCCCAUUAACUCUAUGUUUGUGAAGUGCUUACAAAAAAAAAAAAAACAAAAACAAAAAAACUAUGUUCGUGAAAGACAAAUGAGGAAAGAGGGGUCUUAAUGAUGCCGCCUUGCACGCUGAUGGAAACACAGGGAGACAAUAGACCCAUGGCUCAAGUUGCUCGUUUCUAGUUGUGUUUGGCUCUGAUGUCAUUUGUAACAACCCAAGGAAUACUCAAGGCACAUCUGGGCUCACAGAUUAGUCAAGGUUGUAAUAGAUAAUUUUGAAAUCAUUAUAAUGGGUUUAAACUUCUCCCUCCCUAGCAAUGUGGGAUCCCAUUUACCAUGUUCCCACAAUCCUUGGUAUUACACAUAUAUUAUAAGGAUAAUUAGCCUGCGUUAAUCUGUAAAUGGGUACUAAAUGGUCUGUGGUGCAUCUACGAGGCCAAACUUUAUAGCCACUUUAGAAGAUUUGCCAACCUGACCUGCAUCAUCCGAAUCAAUUUUUAAUGAUACUACCCCUGAUUUGAAAUCUUAAAGUGUGCUUCACAAGUUCAAAAUGUCAAAUCUCAAUCCUUGAAUUAAUUUUAGUGUUUGUGCUCUAGGUGAUUGGUGUUGACAUAACUGAAGUUGUGAUUGUAUUCAUAAAAAAGUAGUUAUUUUAGUGUUCUGAGCUUAACCAGAUGCUAUGACUAAGCUCCCAGUUCUUUGAGCUGCUUACUUCAAGAAACCAAGUAGUAAAACACUAUUGAUAAUACAAAGUUUAAGAUAUCCAUGUUCAUAUUGAUAUUUUGAACGGCACAGGACUACUUCUAACUAGUUUUAUGAAUUCUUCUUUGAUCGAUAGUUUUAUGAAUUCUAUUGUAAAUGGUUCUUUUAGAUGAUUAAAUAUCGCAACUGGUUAGUUACCGCAUCUCAUCACUUUUUGAUAGUUCCAUAGAUUUUCUUUGAGGCAUCAAUAUUCUCUGGACAAUAAGUGUUACCAUUUCCUUACCAUAGGGUCUCUGUUUAUGAUUUUCUUUUAUUUGUUAAAAAUGUACAUUGGAAUUCCCUGAAAUUAUUUUUUCAUUCUGUUUUUCUAUUGAUCUUUUCCUGAUAUUUGGUUUCCUCAUGAGUUUUAUAGGGGAAAUGGAUGCUUACGUUAUUCAUAGAUUUGUUUUUCUGCACUCUGUCUUGUUUCUAAAGGCUGACCACUAUUAAUAAAUCUGAGUCGUUUGGUUAUUCCAUACUUUGAUUGCACAG